rnacentral:rRNA from 1 species
AUUAGAUACCCCACUAUAAGGAGCCACAAUANUACAGAAGCACUAAAACCUCNUGGUUAAAACUUAAAGAGUAUGGCGGUGGGCCUAAUUUCUCAGGGGAAUUUACCCGGUAAUUGAUAACCCACAAGGUGCCCCUCGUGCCCUAACAGUUUGUAUGCCGCCGUCUCCAGGUAGCGCCUANNGCCUUGCCGAGAAUCUACAGGAAAGAAGACAGGUCAUGGUGCAGCCUAUGGGCACGUGCAGGGUGAGUUACNUUGAAGGAUUCUCUCGGAGUGAACNCUAAANUAUCGUUCACGGAAGGUGGACUUGAAAGUAAAAAACACNAAAAUUAUUUCUUGAAUUUUCUUUAGGCACGUG